rfam:Bombyx mori DNA, contig: Bm_scaf1_contig265, strain: p50T/Dazao, build 2, whole genome shotgun sequence.
ACAGCAUUCGGAUCUUCAGUCCACCGAGCAAUUUCUCCCGUUCGGUGGAAGAUCUUCCCGUGGUCGU